rnacentral:rRNA from 1 species
UACGUAGGGUGCAGGCGUUAAUCGGAAUUACUGGGCGUAAAGCGUGCGCAGGCGGUUUGUUAAGUCUGUUGUGAAAUCCCCGAGCUCAACUUGGGAAUUGCAAUGGAUACUGGCAGGCUGGAGUAUGGUAGAGGAAGGUGGAAUUCCCAGUGUAGCAGUGAAAUGCGUAGAGAUCGGGAGGAACACCAGUGGCGAAGGCGGCCUUCUGGACCGAAUACUGACGCUCAUGCACGAAAGCGUGGGGAGCAAACAGG